GAGCAGAGAGCAGCACUGAGCAUGGCUGGAAAGAGCAACGCCAGCCCCACUGCCGCAGCAGGAGCCUCCAAUCUGCCAUGGCUUUGAGGUGGUGUUUAUGGGAUGCUGUCAUGAUGGAUGAUCCCACCAUCGCCCUGCAAGAACGUGGGGUAUCCAGAUCAGCCCCGUGUCUGCAGGAUCUUCUCUUCCCAACCAGCAACAACGACAGAAGGAAGCAGGGAGUGUCCAGACCUCUCAGACAAGCAGUGACUCUGUGAUCUACAUCAGUUUGACCAGAUGUAAUGAAAGAAGAGAAGAGAACUCAGGCACAGAGCUAAGCAACUGUCUUUAAAGCAUCUGUCAGUAUUUUGGCAUGAAGAUCCUUCCAAAUGAAGACCUUUGUUUCGUUGGACAGGUUUUCCAGCAACAGAACAAAAGUCCCAUCCAUAAAAAACGAUGGUUACAGACUUGUAACUGAUCACUGGAAGCUGAAAUGAGGCUGUGGGCACACUGGGAGAGCACACAGCACUGCUCUGUGCAGGACAGAGGCAGAGGAACACUGUGCUUUGUAGCACAGAAGUACUUCAGCCAGAGCACUGUGAGCUGCAGUGGGAUUCAGGGAAUGGUGCUGGCAUCAAAGUUACUGCACUGAACUGAGCAAAACUUUCCCAAAAGGAACACAAAUACAUAGAACAAGCAACCCAACUGCAAACAACGGGGUAGUGGGAAUGGGAACCUCUUAAUGCAUGACGUUCAGUCUCCUGUCUUCACAAUUUGCAACAUUGCUUCCCAGCUCCAACUGCACAAGGCUGUUCCACUGGGAACACCCUUCUUUGGAAACACAGGUCAACCAGAAAAUAGUUGAUAUGCUAUCUACUCAAAUACAAAUAAUCUCACUAUCCUGAUGGAACCACUGAACAGGGUUCCCUUGAGCUGCUGCUGCCACUGCCCGUCCCAUGGGUACUGUUCUGUGUAACCCCGUGUCUGCUGUUCCCAACAGCCUGAGGCUGUCCCACCCUGCAUGUCCAUGUGUGCCUCUCCCACCAGGCAUGGCCACCGCUCCCAUCAACACAACAGGCUGAAAUCGACCCCCUUACCACCCCGGCUUUCACCUGAAAUGGAUUAGCUGAACAUGUCUAUGAAUGUUACCUAAUUAAAUGACUUUUCUUAA